CAAUAGCGUAUAUUAAAGUUGUUGCAGUUAAAAAGCUCGUAGUUGGAUUUCUGGUUGAAGCGACCGGUCGGGCGUUGAUUCGUCUGCACUGGAGUCGGUUUUGGCCAUCCUCUAGGAAAGUGCGUCUGGUAUUAAGUUAUCGGGCGUAUGAUCCUGGUCUUUUACUGUGAAAAAAUUAGAGUGUUUAAGGCAGGCCUUCGCCUUGAAUACAUUAGCAUGGAAUAAUAAGAUAGGACUUUGGUCUAUUUUGUUGGUUUGCAGACCGAAGUAAUGAUUAAUAGGGAUAGUUGGGGGUAUUUAUAUUCCGAUGUCAGAGGUGAAAUUCUUAGAUUUUCGGAAGAUAAACUUAUGCGAAAGCAUUUACCAAGGAUGUUUUCAUUAA
rnacentral:rRNA from 1 species